CCUCUGGCUGGUCCUACAGAACUCUGCAUGCAAAAACCACCAGACAUAGGAGCAUAUUCUUCCCUCAGACCAUCACCCUCAUAAGCAGGAGAGCUCCUCAGGCAUCUCCAGCCUGCAAUUCCUGGGAAAUGCCACCUGCCACCCAUCCUUGGAAACGUCGCCCAUUCUCAGGAUCUCAUACGUCACCAUUCAUCACAGAGUCACAGUGCCUGCAGACAUCUGGAUAAAAGGAAAAGCCCUGAAGUGCAACACAUUUUGGAAACUUGCAUAAUAAAAAUUUCCUCUCAUCA